UUUCCUACGGGACGCAGCAGUGGGGAAUAUUGCACAAUGGGGGGAACCCUGAUGCAGCAAUGCCGCGUGGGUGAAGAAGUACUCCGGUAUGUAAAGCCCUGUCAGCAGGGAAGAAAAUGACGGUACCUGACUAAGAAGCCCCGGCUAACUACGUGCCAGCAGCCGCGGUAAUACGUAGGGGGCGAGCGUUAUCCGGAUUUACUGGGUGUAAAGGGAGCGCAGGCGGCGUGGCAAGUCAGAUGUGAAAACCCGGGGCCCAACCCCGGGACUGCAUUUGAAACUGCCAUGCUGGAGUGCCGGAGAGG
rnacentral:rRNA from 1 species